CCAUACAUUACAGCAGCAUAUGUUUUUAAUAUUUUAUUUGCAAAUUGUUUAUUUAGUGAGUGCUUCGUUGGCACUCAAAUACAGCGAGAGGGUCGGACCUCAGAGAUUCAGCAGCCGUCGUGGAGGGAGGAUGCUGCGCGCGCUCUCUCUGUUAAUUAAGAGUAAAGCCAUAACCAUAACAUAUUAGUGAUGAAACUCGAGUGUGAACAAGACUGGAGAACAUGUUCGUCCUUGAAAAUGUCAAGAUCAAUUCUUGAGUAGCAGGUUGACUGUCAGUCUUGGAUAUAUAGCUGUCAGCGACCAGUGCAUCACGUGUGAACGUUAAUACCAGUCUCAAGAGAAUGUGACGUAAAUCGACAAGAAAUUAUGUGAAUCAUUCAUUAACAUUUACGUAAAUUUCUCGAAAAUGCUGAUAUGAAUAAUAAAAAAAAGUGAUGUAAAUAAUAGGUGAUUGUGCGAACCGUAUGGAAUGUUUAUUUACCCACAUGAAAAGCGACAUCUUGCCAACACUUCAGCGUCACCUGUGUUCCCAGUUCGCUUCCGGACUCCGCAUUCGUUUCAAAUAAGAAGAGUGUGCUACCGACUUCUGGCAACCAUCCAGUUGUGGUGUUAUCCUGAGAUUCUCAUCAGUGCUACAACAGCUGUUGUUCUGUAAGGCUAUUCCUGCAAGCGUGCUCUGUGAGUGAAUGUGGUUUCGCCAAAUUCUCCCCUUCAAUUCAUGAUUACUGCUGAAAUUCAUGAUGGAUGUAACGCCUAGGAAGCGUGAAAAUAUUGUAGCUCUUAGAAAACAUGCUGGUUUCAGUAUUAGACAGAUCGCUGAAAAUUUGUGCCUAGCAGAGUCAACUGUUGGUCGGAUUCUGAAGAGAGCUGAUGACACUGCUGAUUUUGGAGUUCUGCCGUGAGGUAGAUGUGGAAGAAACGCAAGACAACACCUAACGAUGACAAGAUUAUCACAAGAAAUAGUGGGAAAGAUCCCAAGAAAACCGACAAAGAUAUACAGAGAGAUUUGGUUUAAGCUGGAGUAAAUGUUGAUUCUUCAACUGUUCGAGGAAGGCUCCUUGAAGUUGGCAGAACUGCUGGAAAGCCAGUAAAUAAGCAAUUAUUUACUGCUGCUAUGAAGGAUUAAAUGAUUGUGGCGGGUACUUGAUCAUAAGGGAUGGACGACAGAUGAAUGGAUAGAAGUUAUAUUUUUAGAUAUGGCGCAUUUUGAAGUACAUGGGUACAGAUCAGUAGUAAUAAGACGAAGCAAAGGCAAGCUUCUUCGGAAAGGACAUAUUCAACAAGUGCCAAAAUACUUACCUAAGAAGAUAUUUUGGGGUAGUUUUACUGAUAAAGGGCCUGGACGGCUUGUUAUUGUUGAGGGAACGAUGAAGAAUGACAAAUACAAUGCAGUCCUGGUAACUCAUUUGCUUCCCACUGUGGAUAGACCCUUUCCUGAUAGAGAAGGCAUUUUCCAGCGGGAUCUUGCUCUAUGCCACUCUUCCAGAAAAUUGCUGACGUUCUAAAUUGGCCUGGAAACUCUGACCUCAACCCAGUUGAGAACCUAUGGGCAAUAACCAAACAAAGGAUCGCGAAAUAGGACUGUUCAGCUGUGGAGAAGCAAAUUGCUGCUGUUAAUAGGACCUGGUACCACGAGAAGAAUCGGUAUGGAAUCGACCAAUGUGUUCAACAUUAGUCAAUUCCAUACCAAAGCGUGUAGCAAUGCUUAUGAAAGCAAAGGGUAGUCAUAUCUCU